AGUGAGCGCUGGCGGUAGGCCUAACACAUGCAAGUCGAACGGCAGCACAGUAAGAGCUUGCUCUUACGGGUGGCGAGUGGCGGACGGGUGAGGAAUACAUCGGAAUCUACUUUUUCGUGGGGGAUAACGUAGGGAAACUUACGCUAAUACCGCAUACGACCUACGGGUGAAAGCAGGGGAUCUUCGGACCUUGCGCGAUUGAAUGAGCCGAUGUCGGAUUAGCUAGUUGGCGGGGUAAAGGCCCACCAAGGCGACGAUCCGUAGCUGGUCUGAGAGGAUGAUCAGCCACACUGGAACUGAGACACGGUCCAGACUCCUACGGGAGGCAGCAGUGGGGAAUAUUGGACAAUGGGCGCAAGCCUAAUCCAGCCAUACCGCGUGGGUGAAGAAGGCCUUCGGGUUGUAAAGCCCUUUUGUUGGGAAAGAAAAGCAGCAGGUUAAUACCCCGCUGUUCUGACGGUACCCAAAGAAUAAGCACCGGCUAACUUCGUG
rnacentral:rRNA from 1 species